AACGAACGCUGGCGGCAUGCCUAACACAUGCAAGUCGAACGAGACCUUCGGGUCUAGUGGCGCACGGGUGCGUAACGCGUGGGAACCUGCCCUUAGGUUCGGAAUAACAGUUAGAAAUGACCGCUAAUACCGGAUAAUGUCUUCGGACCAAAGAUUUAUCGCCUUUGGAUGGGCCCGAGUAAGGUUAGGUAGUUGGUGGGGUAAAGGCCUACCAAGCCGACGAUCUUUAGCUGGUCUGAGAGGAUGAUCAGCCACACUGGGACUGAGACACGGCCCAGACUCCUACGGGAGGCAGCAGUGGGGAAUAUUGGACAAUGGGCGAAAGCCUGAUCCAGCAAUGCCGCGUGAGUGAUGAAGGCCUUAGGGUUGUAAAGCUCUUUUACCAGGGAUGAUAAUGACAGUACCUGGAGAAUAAGCUCCGGCUAACUCCGUGCCAGCCGCCGCCGUAACAC
rnacentral:rRNA from 1 species